rnacentral:lncRNA from 1 species
AUGGUUGUUAGUGUUGAUUGGGAUGUCCAUCAGAGACUACAGGAACAGAAAUCCCCUAAUGAUUUGCAAUUUCUCUGCUUCUCCAGCCUCCAAGCUUACAAACGUCAGUCAACCAGCUACAUAAGCUGUGCCUGCCGUGCGCCCUUUCCUGGCACAUUGAGUGCUACAAGAGAGAAAGAACUGGAGACCCACUUUGCACUUGCAAGAUAUCUUUCCUGUUUACUUGAGGCAACAGGCCAGUUUCUUAGCCACCAAGCAGCAGUGAGAGUUCAUCUUCAGACCAGAGAGGGAGCGACCAGCACAGGCUGGCCUGACAAGGGGCAAGGAGACCUGAGCUCUGCCAUGAAGGAUGUGUGGGCUUCUAGGAACAACCCGACCGAUCGACCGAUUGCCCUGGGCAGCGCAGCAAGGCGUGAAGAUCUAAUGAACACAAAUUGAGUUGAUGGCCCCUGUUAUGCCAAGAAGCCUUAAUGUGCGGGAUGUGUGAUCAUUGUACACUAUCAAGACUCCUCCCAUUUUAUUACUGUUACCAAACUGAAAUGAUGGUCAAGCCUGAAGCUCUUGAAACCGCACUGUCUUCUCUUGACUUGGGCAAUGCAAUUCCAGGUAAAUUAGCUCAACCUCUCUGGCCUCAGCUCUACCAUCUGUAAGCCAAGAGACUCAGUGAGCCCACUUCUAGAGAUGACCACUGCCAUUCCGUUAGCAUAGAGGAGGACGAGAAGUCAGGAGCUGGAACUGGCUGGGGACCCAAAGCAAACAUCAAAAAAGGAACUGGGGUUCAGCAAGCAGGGCAGGGGAGGGCGCUGUGCACUGAAGGCACAGCAUAGGCAGGGACAGAGCAUAACUAAUGCUGUCCAUUAGACGCAAGCGUGCCUACCGGGAGGGGCAGAGAGUGAGCAGUGUCUGUUCUUCUCUCCUCAGUUGUUCCCUACGUUUGCAGUUGUAACGCAUCACCGUGCCUUACAAGCAGCAGAGAUCUGUACAGACCACUCUGUUCCUAGCCACCUGGGAAAGGACCAACAGAGAGUGGGAAGAAAAGGGACAGAGGCCCCUAAGGAAGGGCAAAGGCCAGAGAACCAGGCCGUGUGUUAUAGGCUGUGCAUUAUAAAGUAUUGACUAUAUAAUAUCUGGACCAGGGAGAGAAGCCAACACGAGCAUGUGGCAAGCAACGGGCAGGGCAAAUUGUUGACAAUUUCAAGACCUAAGGGUGAGCAGCAUGUGGAUGUGUGGGAGGACAGCAAGAGGGGGGUGGGAGGGGAGAGUGGUCCAGCCAGGAGCGAGUGCCAAGAUGCCCGGAGAGCAGAAACUCCAUGGGAAGGUUGUGCUCCCUGGUAGGCAGGAUGUGCUCCAGCAGACACACUGUAGCUAAGAAGGACCAGAGCCCAGGAGACAAGACCAGAUCAUGUCAUCAGAUGAGAUGUCAGAAAUUUACAGAGGAGGAUCCUGAAGACAGGACGGAAGUGUUGGCCUCCUCAGGAAGACACACGUGGACUCUUUGACUGAGGAACCAAGACAGUACAAGGCCAAGAAGGGGGCGAUUAAAGGAAAGAGCUUAGAAACAACAAACCAACAGCUGAGUCUGAACCUUAGGGGUUCUGUGGUCUUGAGAAUUCUCUCUCUUUGAGGUUCAUUGUUGGGAAACAGAAGAGGGAAGGAGAGAAGGAGAGAGACAGAGAGAGAGAGAGACAUACAGAGAGAGACAGAGACAGAGAGAGGGAGAGAGCGACAGAUAAAGAGAAGGAGAGAGAGUCAGGAAAGGAGAGAACAGGGGAAGAGGGUAAUAAUAACCCUUUCUUCUACAGAAUAGCAUUAGAUGGUCAAUAUAUGGUGGCUAGAGUUAUAAAUAAACAUGGAGAGAGGGUAGUAUUUUCACAGUCUGGCAGUGAGAGUGAAUGGGGAAGCCAGACCUUCAGAAGGGAAAGGAGAAGAUACGGGAUGAUCAGAGACCAUCCCGGUCUCCCUUUAGGAGAGUCAGGCUCUUCCUGAAAUCCCCAGUGACGGCAACGUGUGGUUUCUUCCCUAGGUACCUUGAGCGACAGAGAAGGCAUGCCUUGGGCAUUGCCCUGGAGUUAAGCAUGAAUGUGAAAGAGGAUACACCGUACUUCAUUCCAGCUGGCGAGCCCCUCCCCAGAAGAUAAGAAACCCAGUCCAGAAUGCAAUUCCUUCCGCUAGGUCUUGGCAAUACAUUCGCCAUUUCCAAACACAGAAAUCACUCCCUGCAUGAUUCAUUAUUCAGAGGAAAUGCCAACCCAGAGUGCUCCAGCCCAUUUAUUCUGGCAGAAGAGUUAAUACUGUGCUGUGUGUGUGUGUGUAUGUGUGUCUGUGUGUGUGUGUGUGUGUGUGUGUGUGUGUGUGUGUGUGUGUGUGUGUUUGAAAGGGACCCACAUGAGAAAUUGCUUUUUAAAACGUCGAUAUCUAAGAAAGCAAGCAGAGAGUUUAAAAGGGUCAUGAUCCAUAAAUCAAUGAUGCUACGCUCUUGAGGAAGCGCUCUACAUCGACUGUUCACCAAUUCCAUUUGCAGCAAGCUGAACCAGCUGUGUCUCUCUGCGUCUCAGCUGCCCUGCCCAGCAAUAAGAGACGAGUUCUCGGGACGACCGGAAUCUGGGCGUGGGGAGGUGGGCUUGCUGUGGAUUUGAUCUACAUCCAUUUCUGCGGGUUUCUCAAUAGCCCAGAACCAAUAUCUGGAACAGGCCAUAAAACCAACCUCAACACUCAUGACUUUUAAUCCUCCUUGCUCGGUGUUCUAGUCAGAGCACUAACCAGUUUGCACAAGAUCUUGCCCUUGUCCUUGAGGACCAGAUCAGGUUCCAGCUGAGCCUAGGUCCUGGUUCCAAAUACGUCAUCGAGGAAAUGUAAACAAUCUUUGCUGUUGCUGAUGGCUGCUGGUGGCAUCCAUUAAAGCAGAGUGCUUGGCUUUGGCUUUGAUUGUGGCGGUGGAAUGGUGGAAUGGGCUAACAGCCUCCUACCAGCUUACACACAGGUAAAGGUGAGCACAUGGGUGAGAAAUGAGGAAGUGGAGUUGCUUUGUUUAGGAAUUCUUGCAACAAGAAAACAUGAUCACCUAGACCUGAGGUCAGCUCUCAAGUUUCCCAAGGGUAGAGUUGAG